UAGGGAAUCUUCCACAAUGGACGCAAGUCUGAUGGAGCAACGCCGCGUGAGUGAAGAAGGUUUUCGGACCGUAAAGCUCUGUUGUUGGUGAAGAAGGAUAGAGGUAGUAACUGGCAUUUAUUUGACGGUAAUCAACCAGAAAGUCACGGCUAACUACGUGCCAGCAGCCGCGGUAAUACGUAGGUGGCAAGCGUUGUCCGGAUUUAUUGGGCGUAAAGCGAGCGCAGGCGGAAGAAUAAGUCUGAUGUGAAAGCCCUCGGCUUAACCGAGGAACUGCAUCGGAAACUGUUUUUCUUGAGUGCAGAAGAGGAGAGUGGAAUUCCAUGUGUAGCGGUAGAAUGCGUAGAUAUAUGGAAGAACACCAGUGGCGAAGGCGACUCUCUGGUCUGCAACUGACGCUGAGGCUCGAAAGCAUGGGUAGCGAACAGG
rnacentral:rRNA from 1 species